CCCUUCAUCGUCAUCACUACAAUGUCCCAAUUCAUCACUGCUGAUGAGAACCCAUGCAUGCCCUCUACCCCAGCCCUUCAUCUUCAUCACCGCUGAGAACCCUCACACCCAGCCGUCUCUCUGAGCCCUCGCUCGUAUCCCUCUAUCGCACCUUCUCUCGCAGCUGCUCUGUCGCAACCCUUGCACCCUCAACGCAAGCCUCCUCCUCAGAUUCGCAACCCUCGCACCCUCUCUUGCAACCCUCUAUCGGCGCUGCUCCGUCGGCGCACCCUGUAUCGGCGUGCCCUCCCUGAGCGAUCUCUCUCUCAAAAACCCUAAACACUAAAGAUGCUGCCUCUCUCUCGCUCCUCCCUCAAUCGUCGCUACCUCUCCCUCAAUCGGCGCUCAACCCUCACCAUAAACACUACAAGAGGUAAAAAAUGAACAGGAUCAGCAUGCUACUGCUGCGGUUGAGAGUCCCAACAAGUCAAGGCUCUUAACCAUGCUUGAUGAGGUAAGGACUUGUUUCUUCCAAAAGCAAAUACAGUAGAAGUGAGAGAAUUAUGGUUAUUUGUCUCUUAUUUCAUUCUGCU